CCAUGAAAGAUCAUGUCCAUGUUAUCAAGUUAACAUGUUGCAAGCAAAUGAUAGACGGCAGCAAGAUCUAGGUAACAAAACAUCUCAUCUAAGGAGACAACUGGGUGAGUUCAGUUCACCCUAUAGGUCUCUUGCUCUUCUGUUUCAGUCUGUCUGUCGUCUUGGGUCUACACAAGCCAUAUAUGUUGAAGAAUGUGCAUUGAUGAGCCCGUUCGUUCAUGCCAUGGAAAAGAUAUCAAUCAAUACAGCAUGAUGUUUCUGCUCCACCACCUCUUCUCUUUGGUCUUUAGCCGGUGCCUGUUGUUCCUCUUCGAUCCUUGCUUCUAGCAGUUGAAUCCAAUCAUUUCAAUAAGAUACAGGACACACGAGAAGACUCAUCUCUCCAUGAUUGCCUUCGGGUCUUCGUUCUCGAUCGAUCCACAUCAUGCAAUCUGUCUUGAGGUGCAGAUAUGAUAAAUGUUCAGAGAAGGCUCCACAGAGAGAAGAAACAGAAUCUUGUCUUUUUAAUAGUCUGCAGGGCAUAUUUCUUCGCUGAUAAUACGGCUGUGAUUCAAUGCUGUUGUCAACUUCCACAAAGCAAGGCCAGAAUGACAGAAGUGAUGGGAGAUCUGAAAGCUCGGAAUAAUUAUUGAGUUAGCAAGGCUUGCGUUUGCAACAAAAGCAUUGCUUGCAGAUGAAGCACCAUUAGCCAUUUCUUGGGCAGUAGACUUCCUCUUCGACAUCUGCGGUCUGAACAACCGGUCCUCCAUGUUUUCAAUAUCCAGCAUCAAUGCUAACUUUGUCUAUCUUUCAGAAACAACAUUUCCUUCUGCAUUCUUAUCAUCAUGCACCAACAAAUAGCAUCUGAGAGAGCAAUGCAUUUUAUCCUGCAAAGAAAAGGUGCAUCAGCAUAUGGAAUAAUAAAGUCUUUAUUAUCAACUAAAUAUGGAAUUAUAGGCUAAUGUAGGCGUAGGCUGGCAUUGUUUAGCAGUGGAUUGGCCUGAGAAAUUUGGCCCACCGCGACAAGUAAGCCCACUUGACUCUUCACACAGGACAACAUGACCCACCUCCCAUACAUAAAUAUUUCUUUGGCAAGAUUGUGAAUAUUUGUAUAUCAUACAUUUCUAUUUAUUGUGUAUAUCCUUAUAAAAUGCAAAAAAAAACUUGAGAGUAUGCGGUUAAUUACUGUCACGCGACAAUCAUUUGACUGCCACUUGAAACUUGUAAUAUCUUUAAAAGCAUAUCAUGAUUAUAGAAUGAGAACUUUAGAUAUUUAAAUAUAUUUUUAAUUAAAAUUGAUAUGCAAAGAAUCCUAUUCUUUUACAUGCCACAAGUUGUCGAUGUAUACUAUAAAAGGUAGCUGCUAUGUAGCAUGCGAGACAUGACUUGGGUUUCAUGCUGUCGAACGUACAACAUAGUGUAUAAGUGCAGAAUAACGAUACCUCGCAGUAGGUCGAAACAUCAAGUGGAAAUCCUUGGGGAGGCAGACAAGCAAAGACAGCCUUCGAGUUGUGGGUGAGGUGGGUAAGUUGUCGAAGGGAAGCAAAGGUUGGGUGAGUUGUUAGACAGCAGGAAAGCGAUGGUGACCUCGGAAUCUCAACCCAACCCAACCCCCUCCCCGCCCUUCGCCCUCUCACGCAUUUCCACAACCACAUUGCAGGUCGGACGACAGCAACCGGUGUCGCUUGUGGUUAUGGCGCUUGGACACCAACAGAGGCAGACAAAAGGCCCUGUCCUGUGGAGAAACCUACAAAAUCAAAUGGGGGGUGGGUGUGUGUGCGCGCGCUCUGCGAUGCCCCCCGACGCCCACGAGAAAAGAGCGCCAUUGUUGCUGUGAGGGGCCGAGUGACAUCAACCUUUCUCCUACCCCCCUCCUCGGCUAAAACUGGGGUGACCUCAAUCUAAGUUUGUCUGCUGGUGCCCUUCAGGAAUUCAAACCUUCAGCAGUGGC
rnacentral:lncRNA from 1 species